UACGAAGGGGGCAAGCGUUACUCGGAAUUACUGGGCGUAAAGAGCGCGCAGGCGGUCGAUCAAGUCGAGUGUGAAAGCCCCCGGCUCAACUGGGGAGGGUCAUUCGAUACUGAUCGACUCGAAGGCAGGAGAGGGUAGUGGAAUUCCCGGUGUAGUGGUGAAAUGCGUAGAUAUCGGGAGGAACACCAGUGGCGAAGGCGACUACCUGGCCUGUUCUUGACGCUGAGGCGCGAAAGCUAGGGGAGCAAACGGG
rnacentral:rRNA from 1 species